rnacentral:rRNA from 1 species
GAUGAACGCUAGCUACAGGCUUAACACAUGCAAGUCGAGGGGCAUCAGGAAGAAAGCUUGCUUUCUUUGCUGGCGACCGGCGCACGGGUGAGUAACACGUAUCCAACCUGCCCUUUACUCGGGGAUAGCCUUUCGAAAGAAAGAUUAAUACCCGGCGGUCUCGGAUGGCCGCAUGACUGUCCGAGUGAAGAUUUAUCGGUAUGAGAUGGCGAUGCGUCCCAUUAGCUUGUUGGUGAGGUAACGGCUCACCAAGGCAUCGAUGGGUAGGGGUUCUGAGAGGAAGGUCCCCCACAUUGGAACUGAGACACGGUCCAA